rnacentral:lncRNA from 7 species
CUAAGCACUGUACCGACCGGUGCUACACGAUGAGGAGGACAAGGUAGACUCGGGUGAGUACAUCUUACCGAGGUUUGUGUGGCAUUGGGUUUUGCCCACCGUUUGGUGCGGUACCGCGGCGGAGCCCCAACACCGGUGAGAAAUUUGUCAAUCCUAGGUCGCCUAGAUCACUCCCCAAGGGUCCUAUUACAUGCGACGAACUCAGGAGACCACCUUCGAUUGCGAUCCUAGGGCAAAGCGACACUAUAGUCUAUAAGCUGACAUCGUUGGCAGCGGCCCUUUCUCACGAUCUUUCACUGGCUCACAGCUCGCACGACGCGUACGUCUCCC